AGUGAACGCUGGCGGUAGGCCUAACACAUGCAAGUCGAACGGCAGCACAGUAAGAGCUUGCUCUUACGGGUGGCGAGUGGCGGACGGGUGAGGAAUACAUCGGAAUCUACUUUUUCGUGGGGGAUAACGUAGGGAAACUUACGCUAAUACCGCAUACGACCUACGGGUGAAAGCAGGGGAUCUUCGGACCUUGCGCGACUGAAUGAGCCGAUGUCGGAUUAGCUAGUUGGCGGGGUAAAGGCCCACCAAGGCGACGAUCCGUAGCUGGUCUGAGAGGAUGAUCAGCCACACUGGAACUGAGACACGGUCCAGACUCCUACGGGAGGCAGCAGUGGGGAAUAUUGGACAAUGGGCGCAAGCCUGAUCCAGCCAUACCGCGUGGGUGAAGAAGGCCUUCGGGUUGUAAAGCCCUUUUGUUGGGAAAGAAAAGCAGCAGGUUAAUACCCCGCUGUUCUGACGGUACCCAAAGAGUAAGCACCGGCUAACUUCGUG
rnacentral:rRNA from 1 species